CCACCUUUAGGAAAGAUGGCCAGGCGAGGCAGCUCGAUACAACACCAUCAUACAGCACGAGACAAUCCGGGUGGCUGUCUGCAACACUGUUGAAGCCUGCCUCCAGGGCAACUCCCCGUGCCCAGCACCUCUGAGGGAAGUGAUCUUGAAGUCUUUUCCCGACUUCUACAACACAUAUGAGAAUGUGGUGAAGAGCCAUCUCCACUUGUCCGGUUCCCCCAUGAACGAUCCAUUUGGCGACAAGAGAGGCGUGUACCAGUUCUCAACGCUGCUCACACGGCUGCAGAGCUUAAACGAGCAGAUCAAGAAGAAAAACGAAGCUGCCAACAAGAAGGAAAAGAAGGAAAAAAAGGAGAAGUGAUUGCUUCGUGUUUGGCCCUUGCUGCUUUGAGUUGUUGGAGGACAGACUUUGUACCUUUUUUUUUCAGCCUCUGUGGCCAAGAUCGGAGGCCUGUUUUACUUCUCUUUUCUUUCCGUUCCCAGGCGAGUAAAAGCUUUACAUUUAAUGGCUCUGUAAUGUGGCCAUCAAAGACAACGUACACAGUUGUUCAUUUGUACUGCUCGUGAUAUUUCUGUACACAGUGUGGCCACCUCUGUAAUAGUGUGAAACGUUGUGCUAGUCUGUUGGAUUUUUUUAAAAUUAUUGUUAUCAAAGGGUGAUAUCGGGUAGAGUAAGGGCGUCGAAUGGUGCAGUUCCACACUGUCGCGCAGUAAAUGCAGCGAACAUUCUGCAGUGCGUUGAGAGCAUCCACCAAGAUGCUCAGAAACAGUGAGCUAACCGACCCUCUCUUCCACUGUGCCGUUUUGUGUUUGUAGUGGGGCCUUUUGUGUUUAGCUUCUGCCGCAGUUAGGUACAAUUUGCUAUGUUUCGUGAACGUUUGUACCAAGGCAGGAACAAUAUAGUUUCUUUCCAAAGGGACUUCAGUCCCUCUGCUGAAUGAUGGACCAUUUUUCUGCAUACAGUUUCCCUUACUUUUUUUUUGCUUUCUAGACAGUUUGCUUUCUAGACAUUUCCAUGGGCUCUGAAAAAACAAAAGUUAAGGCAACACUACUUGGGUGGUGAAUAUCUUACCGGCACCAUUUUCGUGGAGCUGUUUUAGCCACCAGAGGCCAACAGCUUUUAAAGGAUUCCCCGAACCUUAACCAUGCAGGAUGGCUCUCUAAGUAUCAAGCCAGUAGGAUUGCCCACAUUAAAGGUUGUUCACUUGCACCCAUAGUGAUGCAAGGUCAGAAAAUGGCGGCAAACCAUGUUCACUGCAUUCAUUACUCCAGUUACCACCAUAUUAGGAAGUCAACAAAUGCAGGCUUGACAUCCAGGAAAGAGACCGCACCGCGUUCAGUUCUCUGUGGUUGGGGUCUUAAAAACAUCUCAUCGACUGCCAGGUUUUCUUGGAAGUACAUCGCAUCCAUCGUGUGUUUAUAAUUCCUUGUGUCUAGUCCCUAGCUGGUGUGCCGCUCUCUGUCCUCAUGUUGUUUGUUCAGACAUUAACUGCACAUGUUAAACUUAUCACUCCAUAUGUUUUUGUUUUUUUUCUGGUUUCUGAUGUGUUCCUAGGCAGGGAGUCGAGUCUCAUGCAUAAUCACGGCGUCACAGCCAAGAAUUUAGAUGGUAGCGAGACACGUAAGUUGCGAGUGAAAAAGGUGUCCACAUGUUCCAAAAAUAUUCAGCCCACCGCAGCUCUGGCUGGCAGGUGCUGUUCCAGACUUUAUUCCAGACCUUAUUGCCACUGACGAAAAUAAAGCUGGGGGGGUUUUUGAUGCCAAAACAACAAUCUUGACUAUGAGGUAUGUUGUACUCCCUAGAGAACUCCUUUACCCAUUGUGUAUCACGUGGGAUCAUUUAAAGGGCAUUUAAACCUAUGGAAGCGUGUACAUUUGAAUUUCAUUCAACCUCUGUACCUUCUAGGUCUUCUACAAGUGGACCAGAGCUACAAAAUUGGAACACGUUAGCAAGUAGGGUUGUGCAAAUAGUGAUCUUCGAGACCAAGUCAAGUAUAAAUUGAAUAGUGUCAGGAGCUAAUCGAAUAGCUUAUGAAUGCUGAACAGCUGUUUCUGCAAUUACCUAAAGGAUGUUAACAUUCUGGUGUUCAUAAUUUUAACGUUAAAACCACAGAGCGCAACAGAAGAGUGCAAAUGAAUGUUAUAUAGGCUAGUCAAGGGGCCUAGCCUGUUCGCACUCAGUAAGCUGUUAUCUAUCCCUAUACUAUGCCCAUGUGGAUGAAGUUUGUCGCAUUUUUGUGCCCAAUUUUGUUUGCUUUGGUGCAGUUGACAUUUUGAAGUACACUUGUAAGCUGUUGGAAAACGACCCAUUUACGAAAAACCGGCUAUACGGAUUGGUUAGGUCACUAUUUGAUAUGGUAUUAAAUUUCUUUUUUUAAUAUUCACACACCCCCAUUCAUGAGACCUCACCCUGGCAUUUCGGCUAAAGUAGUGCUGGGGUGCCUCUUCUUGGAACAUGUGGCACUUUAUAUACUGUACAGUGAACUUCAUUGUAAGAGAGUAUUUGUUGUCGUUGCUGUUUGUGUGAGGAGUUUCUUUUGAAAAGAGACAUGUGCCAGGUGGGCACACAGUGUUUCAAAGCGCUGCACGAAAACGUGUGUUUGCACAUGUAUGUGCAAUUUGGUCUCGUGUGAUGUCGCGCUUGCCUCGCUUGUAUAGUAUUGCACUCGUAUGUGUCGGAGAUCUGAAUUGUUGAAACUGACAUUAUAAAUAAUAAAGAUGGUAAAAUAAAAA